rnacentral:lncRNA from 1 species
GUGGCUGUUUUCUGGAGCAGGCCAAAGCACAUUUCACCUUUUUCCAUUUUCUUUCAUUCUCAUCACAAAAAUCCCUCCAGGCUGAGGCUCCUUCUCAGAAACCUGGCAAUGAGAAGAGGAAGCCUGUCUGCUCCUUACACUUCAUUUGUAGUCCCAUUAUAAAUAAUUAACCUGAAGUUAUGCUCAGAAAACAAAUAGAUGGGGUGCAAUUGGCAGGGCUGCAUAGGAGAUUUUUCUCAUGGGUUUUUACCCCGUUCACAAAAUCCAGAAAGCGGAUACAGCCCUUUCCAUUAGCAGAAAUGAGCUGUCUGCUCUUGAACACUUAGAGAGGAAACCACAGUGGAACCACUUUUCUUAUGCACUUAAACUUGAGAGCUGCCCAUGGAGCCGUUGUCUGAGGCCCUGGACAGCAUUUCCUCCUACCAGGAUCUCACAGGCCCCCUAAGGACAGAGCUUGGCUGCAGCUGCCACCGCACACACUGAUUCUGAUCUCCUGCCAAGUCAGUCUUGUCCCUGGGGAUGACGGUGGUGGGUAGAUUCAGAAGGGGUUGUGGUCACCUCAACUCAGAUUCAGUGCUGAAACAGGGUAAAGACGAGGCUGACGUUGUUGUUUUUUUUUUUUUUUGAGAUGGAGUCUCGCUCUGUUGCUCAGGCUGGAGUGCAAUGGCGCGAUCCCGGCUCACUGCAACCUCCGCCUCCCAGGUUCGAGCAAUUCUCCUGCCUCAGCCUCCCGACUAGCUCAGAUUACAGGCACCCACCACCAUCCCUGGCUAAUUUUUGUAUUUUUUAGUAGAGAUGGGGUUUCACUAGGUUGGCCAGGCUGGUCUCAAACUCCUGACCUGAAAUGAUACACCUGCCUUGGCCUCCAAAAGUGCUGGGAUUAUGAAAAUUUUUGAAAUAAGAGUGAAAUUCACAUAAUAUGAAAUUAAUCAUUCUAGGCUGGGUGCGGUGGCUCACGCCUGUAAUCCCAGAGGCCGAGGUGGGUGAAUCACCAGGUUGGGAGAUCAAGACCAUCCUGGCUAACAUGGUGAAAUAUAAAAAAUUAACCGGGUGUGGUGACAGGUGCCUGUAGUCCAGUCUCAAAAAAAAAAAAAAAAA